AGAGUUUGAUCCUGGCUCAGGACGAACGCUGGCGGCGUGCCUAAUACAUGCAAGUAGAACGCUGAAGGAGGAGCUUGCUUCUCCGGAUGAGUUGCGAACGGGUGAGUAACGCGUAGGUAACCUGCCUGGUAGCGGGGGAUAACUAUUGGAAACGAUAGCUAAUACCGCAUAAUAGUAGAUGUUGCAUGACAUUUGCUUAAAAGGUGCAAUUGCAUCACUACCAGAUGGACCUGCGUUGUAUUAGCUAGUUGGUGGGGUAACGGCUCACCAAGGCAACGAUACAUAGCCGACCUGAGAGGGUGAUCGGCCACACUGGGACUGAGACACGGCCCAGACUCCUACGGGAGGCAGCAGUAGGGAAUCUUCGGCAAUGGACGGAAGUCUGACCGAGCAACGCCGCGUGAGUGAAGAAGGUUUUCGGAUCGUAAAGCUCUGUUGUAAGAGAAGAACGAGUGUGAGAGUGGAAAGUUCACACUGUGACGGUAUCUUACCAGAAAGGGACGGCUAACUACGUGCCAGCAGCCGCGGU
rnacentral:rRNA from 1 species